GAUCUCCUCUUUCGUUUCUAGGGUUUUGCAGAAGAACUCAAGAUGAAGCGGUGGGUUUUUGGAUUAUCUUGCAAGCAACGAAGGAAGGAAGGGGUUUAUAAAUCGAUUUUGUUCGUCUUGUUGUUCAGAAAUGGAAGAAGAAUAUUCUCUCGCUGAUACUUCAAAGCUGCUGCAAGCUGCUUCUGAUUUCUGCUCUCACCCUGGCACUCGAUCGGAAGCUGCUGUGAAGGAGUUUCUUAAUUUCUUUCCUCUUCCUGUCAUUAUUAGUAAUUAAGGAUGCAUGUGAACUUGAAUAUAGUUUACAUAAAGUUAGUUAGUAGGGCUACUUUUGGAGAUUGUCAAGUCUAAGCAGUCAAUGGCGAUUUCAAGCGAGUUGUAUCCAAGCCAAGACGAACUCCUCUAUGAAGAAGAACUCCUCAGAAAUCCCUUCAGUUUGAAGCUAUGGUGGCGAUACUUAAUUGCACGCACCGAGUCUUCGUUCAAGAAGUGAGCCGUGAUCUAUGAACGAGAGUUGGGUUUAAUUUGGGUUUCAAAUUUGUGGGUGUGGUGAAUUUGAGUUUUAAAAAAAUCUUGAAUUGUAGGGUGGAGGUUACAAUUGUGGCGAUUUGGGUUACAUUUAUGGUUUUAAUUUUGAUAAUUAUGGGGAAUCUGGAACAAUGAACUGAUGCUGAUGAUGAACUUGAUGUGCCGAUAGCGUGUUAUUCGAGAAGGCGUGACAGUAAGAAGAUUGUUUUGAGGGAUUCGAGUAGUUUGGAUGUACCGUUGAUUUGCUAUACUAGAAGAUACAGAAUGGGUUGCUUGAAGAGUUCAGCUUCUUUGAAUGCACCGUUGAUGUGCUAUACUAGAAGGCGUUCUGGCUGUAAAGCUUGUUCACAUGAUAUAGAAUGUGAAUGUUAUAUCUGUAAGGCACGUAAUCAUAGUUCUACAUCAUCGGAAGGCUUGAAGGCUUGUAAUUCUGGUUCUACUUCGGAUAAUAGUCUUAGUGACAGCUGUUGUCAAGAAAAUGACAUAGGAAGAAAGCCUCUUCGCUAUCUUUUAAAAUACUACAGAGUUGGAAAAGAGAAACCAAGGCCUUCAGUUUUUGCUGAGGGUUCGGGCUGUUCUUGUAUGGAUUUAGCUAAUUUGUAUCCUGAAGGCAUGCCUGAUACUAGGAGUUAUGGAAAUGGCAAUGAAUGCCUUGAAAUUUUGGAGAACUGUGACGAUAAAACUGAUCGCUUUUUGUUGAAAUACAAGAGAUCUUUAAGAUAUGAAGCCAGCAUUUAGUUGUAAAGUGG
rnacentral:lncRNA from 1 species